CCCUUAGAUGUCCUGGGCUGCACGCGGGCUACACUGAUGUGUCCAGUAAGCACCUAACCUCUUCCGAAAGGAACGGGUAACCUUUGCAAAGCACAUCGUGAUGGGGAUAGAUUAUUGCAAUUAUUAGUCUUGAACGAGGAAUUCCUAGUAAGCACAAGUCAUCAGCUUGUGUUGAUUACGUCCCUGCCCUUUGUACACACCGCCCGUCGCUCCUACCGAUUGAAUGUUCCGGUGAGCUCUUCGGACUGCGCGGUCUGCAGUUUCUGCGUUCCGUGCGGAAAGUUGCGCAAACCUUAACAUUUAGAGGAAGGAGAAGUCGUAACA
rnacentral:rRNA from 1 species